rnacentral:tRNA from 1 species
GGGUGUACAGCUCAGUGGUAGAGCGCAAGCUUAGCAUGCAUGAGGUCUUGGGUUCAAUUCCCAGUGCCUCCA